AAUAUCUGCGAAUUAUCGCGAUAUUAUUCAAAUUACAGUGAAUAAAAAGUAAUGACAUUAUUAGGAACAGGUUCGAAGCGAUGAGUAUCGUGUGGAACAGAGAGCCGCGUGUUUUGAAAAUUGGCCGGAAGUGGCGGCGCCUCGGCACCUUCCAGCGAAACGCUGAAAAGAGCAUAACGCGAGGGCAGAAGCCGUGGGAGAAAAGCAGGAUGAAACGAGUGGCCGACCUUGAAACGUAUCGUACGAGUUCCGUGUAAAUGGACGAUCUGUGCCCGGCCGAGCCAAAUAAGCGGUUUCGAGAACCUAUGAUAUUUGCCGAGAAAAUUAUUUCCGUUUCACGAAGCCGGUUGCCUGCGAAAAUGCGCGCCGGUAUUUAUACGGCGACCCGAGUUUACCAGGCAACGUACAACACCUCAGACGAAUGGAGAGGAGAAAUGCGCGCGGCUGCAGCGAAAAAC
rnacentral:misc_RNA from 1 species